rnacentral:rRNA from 1 species
AGAGCGAACGCUGGCGGCAGGCCUAAUACAUGCAAGUCGAACGAGCCCUUCGGGGCUAGUGGCGGACGGGUGAGUAACACGUGGGAACGUGCCUUUUGGUUCGGAACAACUCAGGGAAACUUGAGCUAAUACCGAAUGUGCCCUUCGGGGGAAAGAUUUAUCGCCAUUAGAGCGGCCCGCGUCUGAUUAGCUAGUUGGUGAGGUAAAGGCCCACCAAGGCUACGAUCAGUAGCUGGUCUGAGAGGAUGAUCAGCCACACUGGGACUGAGACACGGCCCAGACUCCUACGGGAGGCAGCAGUAGGGAAUCUUGCGCAAUGGGCAAAGCCUGACGCAGCCAUGCCGCGUGAAUGAUGAAGGUCUUAGGAUUGUAAAAUUCUUUCAGCGGGACGAUAAUGACGGUACCCGCAGAAGAAGCCCCGGCUAACUUCGUGCCAGCAGCCGC